rnacentral:rRNA from 1 species
AGUGAACGCUGGCGGUAGGCCUAACACAUGCAAGUCGAACGGCAGCACAGUAAGAGCUUGCUCUUACGGGUGGCGAGUGGCGGACGGGUGAGGAAUACAUCGGAAUCUACUUUUUCGUGGGGGAUAACGUAGGGAAACUUACGCUAAUACCGCAUACGACCUACGGGUGAAAGCAGGGGAUCUUCGGACCUUGCGCGAUUGAAUGAGCCGAUGUCGGAUUAGCUAGUUGCGGGGUUAAGGCCCACCAAGGCGACGAUCCGUAGCUGGUCUGAGAGGAUGAUCAGCCACACUGGAACUGAGACACGGUCCAGACUCCUACGGGAGGCAGCAGUGGGGAAUAUUGGACAAAGGGCGCAAGCCUGAUCCAGCCAUACCGCGUGGGUGAAGAAGGCCUUCGGGUUGUAAAGCCCUUUUGUUGGGAAAGAAAAGCAGCAGGUUAAUACCCCGCUGUUCUGACGGUACCCAAAGAACAAGCACCGGCUAACUUCGUG